GACGAACGCUGGCGGCGUGCUUAACACAUGCAAGUCGAACGGAAAGGCCCUGCUUUUGUGGGGUGCUCGAGUGGCGAACGGGUGAGUAACACGUGAGUAACCUGCCCUUGACUUUGGGAUAACUUCAGGAAACUGGGGCUAAUACCGGAUAGGAGCUCCUGCUGCAUGGUGGGGGUUGGAAAGUUUCGGCGGUUGGGGAUGGACUCGCGGCUUAUCAGCUUGUUGGUGGGGUAGUGGCUUACCAAGGCUUUGACGGGUAGCCGGCCUGAGAGGGUGACCGGCGACAUUGGGACUGCGAUACGGCGCAGAAUCCUACGGGAGGCAGCAGUGGGGAAUAUUGCACAAUGGGCGGAAGCCUGAUGCAGCAACGCCGCGUGCGGGAUGACGGCCUUCGGGUUGUAAACCGCUUUCGCCUGUGACGAAGCGUGAGUGACGGUAAUGGGUAAAGAAGCACCGGCUAACUACGUG
rnacentral:rRNA from 1 species